CARUGWAAUUUUUWAUAGCCGCAGAUUUACUGUGCUAAGGUAGCAUAAUCAUUUGUUCUUUAAUUAWGAACUAGAAUGAAAGGUUUAACAUUUUAUUUCUAUUUUUCCUAAAAAAUCCUAACUUUUACUAAAUGUAAAAAUACAUUUAUACAAAAAAAAGACGACAAGACCCUAUCGAACUUAACUUUUAGUUAAGCUGGGGCAGCUUUUUAAUAAUUAUUUUAAAUUAAUUAAAUUUAAAUAAAUGUUCCAAUAUUAAUUGAAUAAAUGAAUAAGUUACCGUAGGGAUAACAGCGUAAUUCUUAUCUAUAGUUCUUAUAAAAAUAAGAGUUUGCGACCUCGAUGUUGAAUUAAUUUACCUGUUAAGUGCAACCACU
rnacentral:rRNA from 1 species